rnacentral:rRNA from 1 species
GACGGAAGGUGCAAGCGUUGCUCGGAAUCACUGGGCGUAAAGGGCGCGUAGGCGGCCUGCUAAGUCGAACGUGAAAUCCCUGGGCUCAACCCAGGAACUGCGUCCGAUACUGGUUGGCUUGAAUCCGGGAGAGGGAUGUGGAAUUCCAGGUGUAGCGGUGAAAUGCGUAGAUAUCUGGAGGAACACCGGUGGCGAAGGCGACAUCCUGGACCGACAUUGACGCUGAGGAGGCGAAAAGC